GUAAAGUAUUAAAACUACCUUUAAUGGAAGGAAAAACGGAUCACUGCUUCCUAUAAGAGUUGGUUUUCUCUGUGUGUGUAGCCACUCUGUGCCUGGUGGACUUGGCUGGCAGUGAGCGAAUGGUGAAGAGCCAGUCUCAGGGUGACCGUUUCAAAGAGAUGACCGCCAUCAACAGCUCACUGUCCAACCUGGGCGUCGUUAUCGCCGCUCUGGCCAAAAAGGAGACUUGCGUAGCUUACAGGAACUCGAAGCUCACGUACCUCCUGCAGGGAUGUUUGGGGGGGAAACGGCAAAACCUUGAUGUUUGUUAACAUUGCUCCGGAGCCCGACAGCUUUGGGGAAACUCUGAACUCAUUGAGGUUUGCCAGCAAGGUCAGUGCAGUCUUGUUUCCAGUGUUCAUUGGACAGAGUACAUUAAUGAUGUCCUUACAUCAGCUGUUUAUGGUAAACCAAAGCCAUACUCCAUAUCCAUUUUAAUACCUUGGUGUGUAAUUCAUACUCACAUUUUGUCUGAAGAGUAGGGAUGUUCCUGGCGUCUUAUUUACUAGUCGACUAAUCGAGGGGGAAAUAAUUAGACUAACCAACUAAUGUAAAACUAAGGAACAUUCAGAUAUUGAGUUGAUUUUCAGAACUGAUUAAUAGAAACUGUCAAACUAGACGCAGAGGUAUCUUAAACCAUUUAUCACAUUCUGUUAAAUACAAAUGAAAAUGCGUUACUACAAAAGAUGUUCUAUUAAAAUAUGACAAUCAUUU